UAGGGAAUCUUCGGCAAUGGGGGCAACCCUGACCGAGCAACGCCGCGUGAGUGAAGAAGGGUUUCGGCUCGUAAAGCUCUGUUGUUAAAGAAGAACACGUAUGAGAGUAACUGUUCAUACGUUGACGGUAUUUAACCAGAAAGUCACGGCUAACUACGUGCCAGCAGCCGCGGUAAUACGUAGGUGGCAAGCGUUAUCCGGAUUUAUUGGGCGUAAAGAGAGUGCAGGCGGUUUUCUAAGUCUGAUGUGAAAGCCUUCGGCUUAACCGGAGAAGUGCAUCGGAAACUGGAUAACUUGAGUGCAGAAGAGGGUAGUGGAACUCCAUGUGUAGCGGUGGAAUGCGUAGAUAUAUGGAAGAACACCAGUGGCGAAGGCGGCUACCUGGUCUGCAACUGACGCUGAGACUCGAAAGCAUGGGUAGCGAACAGGAUUAGAUACCCUGGUAGUCCAUGCCGUAAACGAUGAGUGCUAGGUGUUGGAGGGUUUCCGCCCUUCAGUGCCGGAGCUAACGCAUUAAGCACUCCGCCUGGGGAGUACGACCGCAAGGUUG
rnacentral:rRNA from 1 species